UGGGGAAUAUUGGACAAUGGGGGCAACCCUGAUCCAGCGACGCCGCGUGUGUGAAGAAGGCCUGCGGGUUGUAAAGCACUUCUAGUGGGGAUGAAAAGCCGAAGGCUAAUACCUUUCGGUCUUGACCUAACCCAAAGAAAAAGCACCGGCUAACUCUGUGCCAGCAGCCGCGGUAAUACAGAGGGUGCGAGCGUUAAUCGGAAUUACUGGGCGUAAAGCGUGCGUAGACGGUUAUUUAAGUCGGGUGUGAAAGCCCCGGGCUCAACCUGGGAAUUGCAUUCGAGACUGAAUAGCUAGGGUACGGUAGAGGGAAGUGGAAUUUCCGGUGUAGCGGUGAAAUGCGUAGAUAUCGGAAGGAACAUCAGUGGCGAAAGCGACUUCCUGGACCAGUACCGACGUUCAGGCACGAAAGCGUGGGGAGCAAAC
rnacentral:rRNA from 1 species